AUGAAGAGAGCUCGGCGAGUUCUCUGCCGUGGAGGUGUUGGUGGUAUGGCUGUGUGCUCCUGGCGGUGUGGGUCUUGGAGGGACCACGACUUCUCGGCUAUGAUGGUGAGGUGGUGCGGCGGCGGUGGACUGGCCAACUUGGAUGUUGUGGCCCCAAUUUGGAGGGCAGGGAUGGAGGUGCAGGGCGAUCCGAAAGAAAUUCCUGCCCGUGAGGCGGCAACGGUGUCCGUGGGCGUCGUUCCCCUCCUUGGAGGCUCCGCCAAGGCAUUGAAGAGUGGAUGGUGCGUCGACGAGGGAAGUUCACCGGGAGUUGGUGUUGUCUUCGGAGAUCAGAUCGUGGAAGCCCAGGCCAAAUCCAAAGCGACAACAGAAAAGCUCGAGCUCUUGCUUGGGUGGUCGAGCGAGCAGACCCCGAUCCCAGCAGUAGCACCAGGAGGAGGAAGAUGUCGUCGGUGUUCAGCGGCGAUGAGACCGCCCCCUUCUUCGGCUUUCUCGGCGCCGCCGCGGCUCUCGUCUUCUCAUGUAUGGGGGCGGCCUACGGGACGGCCAAGAGCGGCGUCGGCGUGGCGUCCAUGGGAGUCAUGCGCCCGGAGCUCGUCAUGAAGUCCAUCGUGCCCGUUGUCAUGGCUGGAGUGCUCGGUAUCUACGGGCUUAUUAUCGCUGUCAUCAUCAGUACCGGGAUCAACCCCAAGGCCAAGCCCUACUACCUCUUCGACGGCUACGCCCACCUCUCGUCCGGGCUCGCCUGUGGCCUUGCCGGACUUGCUGCUGGCAUGGCCAUCGGCAUUGUUGGUGAUGCUGGAGUCAGGGCAAAUGCUCAGCAGCCCAAGCUGUUUGUCGGCAUGAUCCUCAUCCUCAUCUUCGCAGAGGCGCUCGCUCUCUACGGUCUCAUUGUCGGCAUCAUCCUGUCAUCCCGAGCUGGCCAGUCUCGUGCCGAUUAGCCAAUUAGGCAUGUUCCACACACGCGGCCCUGUGUGCCCUCUUGUUUUAUAUUAUUCAGACAGCAAACUGAGCUCUAGAGGUUAUCAUGUCUAGUUUUCAUUCUUCUGUUUGGUGGAGAAAAAAACAUCUGUAGCCAAGGGAGUUUUGCCCUUGAUGUACCAUUCUUUUCCCGUCAAGAUGCUGGGAGGGGGUUGGUGCUUAUGUAUGCACAGUUAUUUACCUUUUGGGUCUGGCUGGACGGUGUAAUCUGGUGAAUAAGCGAGAACUUGCAAUGCAAUUGAGUUUUGUCCA